CAUCUGUAGAGAGAUGUCUGGGUGUGGGAAGCAGAGGGGCAAGGCUCACGCUAAGUCGAGGUCUCGCUCUUCCAGAGCAGGCUUGCAAUUUGUGGUGGGCUAAGUUCAUCGACUGCUCUGUAAGGGACACUAUGCUGAGUGUGUUGGAGCUGGUGCACCCACUUGUUUAGCAGCCGUGUUAGACUGACAGCUGAGGUCUUAGAGUUAGCGGGUAACGCCUCUCACAACAGGAAGUAGAUACGGAUUAUCCCGCGUCGUUUGCAGCUGGCUAUUCGCAACGAUGAGGAGCUGAGCAAACUGUUGGGUGGUGUGAUCAUCGCCCAAGGAGGUGUCCUGCCGAAGAAGCCUGAGAGCUAGCAUCAGAAAGUACAGAGCAGGUAGACUCUCUAGGAAGCUACACUGGGCAACCUGAACGUCUGGGGAGUGAAGAAACAAAGGCUCUUUUCAGAGCCGCUCAUAUUGUCAAUGAAGACUGUGCAUAGGCUGCAGAGCGGCAGUAAUUGUGCCAUUUGUGGCAACAGACUGCUUAAGUGGAUCUCAACCAGGGGUGAUUUUGCCCCUCCAAGGAAUAUUCAGCAACGUCUGGAGACAUGUUUGGCCCAUGGAGCCUGGAAGAAAAGGCCUUUAAGUUAGAAAUCCUGGGUUUGAAUCCUGGCCCUGCCUCUUUAUGCCUCAGUGACCUGGGGAAAGUCUCUUGACAUCUCAAGCCUGUGUUUCCACAUCUAUAGCCUGAGAGGAAGACUCCCUCCUGAGGUUUAUGUGGACUUUACCCGUUCAUUGCUUUACAAGUGUAAAUUGCAAUCCUCUUCUCCUUUGCUUUUGAGUCCUCUGGGCAAGCUCAGAAUUUACCAAAGAAUUACUAUUUAUGGCCAUAAAUUGCCAGUUGGAGGCAAGUGGAUUCAUGCUUAUUGAGCACCUACUAUGUGAGGAUUCUGUAUUCGACACUUCGUGCCCAUUGUUUAAGAUGCAAAUAUGGAAAAGCAUUCUAAAGGAGGCCAAGGGGCUAAGCAGUCGGCUUUAUCCCAGGAACCCACUUCCUGCCUCCUCUUCUACCUGUGCUGCUGCCAUCAGCCGGGUUAGAAGCUCAGCUCUGGACAGACCCACUCUUCACAGUUUUACAACAGGCUGCUUAGGGAUCCACAUUUGUCUAAACGGAGAACACCCACACCGUGCAUCUGAAAUGUCUACAUAAAAUUUGUAGUUGUGACACUUCCAUCAGAUCAGAAACUUACUGGAAACAUUUAAUAAAACAGUGGGAACCCCAGUGGGGCUAAUUUUAUGGGUGUCCUUCUGUGCAGUGUCUGAAAGAGAUAAUGGAUGAUAUAAUUGAAAAUCAAGUAGUGUUGUGGGGCCACAGCAAGGAAGCCAGCUGGUGGAUGUCAGAGAGGGACAGCAGCAGCAGGUUUGGGGCCCUGUGCCUGUGGGGUGGACAAGGUCUGAGUCAGUCUUACUCCAUGCCCUUGGGGAAAGUGCACUCUCGAAUCUGACCUAUUACUCCUACAGCAGAUGGUUCAGCAAUGUUUGUUUCUCCUGACGGGAAAUAUACAAGCAUUUUACAGAAACAUACAUCUUAAAAUGAAAUUUGGUGUAAAAUCAACAUGGGCUUGGA
rnacentral:lncRNA from 1 species